GCCUUAGAUAGCUCAUUCAUGUCCAUAAAUUCAUAUUUUCUUGCACCUAUCGGUCGAACCAUUUGUUUAAAUAUAGACAACGUCGGCUCAUUGUCACCCAAUCAUUGUCUGCAUUACGAUCUGCAUGAUUAAAUCUUGUUUUGAUAUCAUCAAGAUACAUCGAACAGAAUGUGAGACGCUCAGUAGCUACAUAUGCUUCCGCUAU
rnacentral:lncRNA from 1 species